rnacentral:lncRNA from 1 species
UUGAUUAUCUCAUUCCAUUUCAUUUAAUGCAUUUUAAUUCUCCAUUUCUUUCUUCUUCUUCUCCUUCUUCUUUUUCUUUUUUGAUCAAUGAGUUAAAGAUUGGUGGUUAGUAUUGAUUAGGGAGGUUUAAUCUUCCUUGAUUCAAAUCUAAUUCAUCUUGAUCAUAGAUCAAGUGAAUGGCUUUGCAUUAAGGAUAGGUUGCUUUCUAAAUCAUGCAAAGAACCUAAAUCAAUACAAGAUCAUUUCUCAUCUU